rnacentral:lncRNA from 1 species
GGAUUUUCUUCUGUUACAGAACUUCAUCUUAUCUUUUCUACAGUCUUUUUUUUGUAAUAUUUUACAAUCUGAAAAGCUAAAAACAUCUAUAGAUCAUUUAUUUUCCUAUUUGCAAAUAAUAAAGCUAUAUGACGUUUACAGCAGCAGAUGGAGUCAGUUAAAGAGGAAUACCAUCAAUUUCUAUUAAGCUUCCAGAGGGAUUAAUUCACUUGUCAGCCAUGAAGUCCUACAAGUAGUUUUACUGACACAGCUGGUCUGGUGAUGAACCCCAGUUCAGUUUUUAAAGAUAAGAGAGAAGAAACCAUCACAACAGCAGCUGCCAAAAUGUGGAUUAUCAAAGCUGAUUACAUGAUGAUUAUGCAGUAAGAUUGGAGAAGCUUAAAAAUGUGACUAUUUUUUUCAGUCUACAUAGCUGACUUUAGAGUAAACAUUUACCCUCCUUCCACCUCUAUUCAAGGUUACUAAAGAAAAUGGCCAGUCUCCCUUUG